rnacentral:rRNA from 1 species
ACGGGAGGCAGCAGUGAGGAAUAUUGGUCAAUGGGCGAGAGCCUGAACCAGCCAAGUAGCGUGAAGGAUGACUGCCCUAUGGGUUGUAAACUUCUUUUAUUCGGGAAUAAAGUGUGGCACGUGUGCCAUUUUGUAUGUACCGAAAGAAUAAGCAUCGGCUAAUUCCGUGCCAGCAGCCGCGGUAAUACGGAAGAUGCGAGCGUUAUCCGGAUUUAUUGGGUUUAAAGGGAGCGUAGGCGGAGAGUUAAGUCAGCCGUGAAAUCCAGUCGCUCAACGACUGAACUGCGGUUGAUACUGGCUUUCUUGAGUGCACAUAAGGAAGGUGGAAUUUGUGGUGUAGCGGUGAAAUGCUUAGAUAUCACGAAGAACUCCGAUUGCGAAGGCAGCCUUCUGGGGUGCAACUGACGCUGAGGCUCGAAAGUGCGGGUAUCAAACAGGAUUAGAUACCCUGGUA